rnacentral:rRNA from 1 species
UACGUAGGGUGCGAGCGUUGUCCGGAAUUAUUGGGCGUAAAGAGCUCGUAGGCGGCUCGUCGCGUCGGCUGUGAAAACCCGGAGCUCAACUCCGGGCCUGCAGUCGAUACGGGCGGACUUGAGUGUUGCAGGGGAGACUGGAAUUCCUGGUGUAGCGGUGAAAUGCGCAGAUAUCAGGAGGAACACCGGUGGCGAAGGCGGCUUUCUGGACAGAAACUGACGCUGAUGCGCGAAAGCUAGGGGAGCAAACAGG